rnacentral:rRNA from 1 species
CUACGGGACGCUGCAGCAAGGAAUAUUGUACAAUGGGGGAAACCCUGAUACAGCAACGCCGCGUGAAGGAAGAAGGCCUUCGGGUUGUAAACUUCUGUUUUAGAGGAAGAAAAAAAUGACGGUACUCUUAGAGGAAGCCCCGGCAAACUACGUGCCAGCAGCCGCGGUAACACGUAGGGGGCAAGCGUUGUCCGGAAUCACUGGGCGUAAAGGGCGCGUAGGCGGUUUAUUAAGUUGCAUGUGAAAUCCCAGAGCUUAACUUUGGACCUGCAUGCAAAACUGGUAGACUUGAGUAUGGCAGAGGUAAGUGGAAUUCCUAGUGUAGCGGUGGAAUGCGUAGAUAUUAGGAGGAACACCAGUGGCGAAGGCGACUUACUGGGCCAAAACUGACGCUGAGGCGCGAAAGCGUGGGGAGCAAACAGGAUUAGAUACCCUCGUAGUC